rnacentral:rRNA from 1 species
GCCCAAUUAACCAGCCCUGAAAAUUGAUGGCGCUAAGCGUGAUACCGAUUCUCGACCCUCAGGGUAAAUAGAAACCUUGAUGAGUAAGAGGGCGUGAACAUUGUGUAGAAGGCUUGGACGUGAGUCUGGCUGGAACAAUGUUUAGUGCACAUCUUGGUGGUAGUAGCAAAUAUUCAAAUGANAACUUUGAAGACCGAAGUGGAGAAGGGUUCCAUGAGAACAGCAUUUGUUCAUGGGUUACUCGAUCCUAAGACAUAGGGAAAUUCCUUGUAAUAUAUGGAUUCUUACGAAUUCAUUGUCAAAAGGGAAUGAGGUUGAUAUUCCUCAAGCUGAAUAAGGAGGUUUCGUGGCAACACAAACAAGCUUGGAGACAUCGGCGUGUGCAACUGGAAGAGUUCUCUUUUCUUCUUAACAAUCUAUCUCCCUGAAUGGAUUAUCCAAAGCUA